AUUGAGCGCUGGCGGCAGGCUUAACACAUGCAAGUCGAGCGGGGUGAUGGUGCUUGCACUAUCACUUAGCGGCGGACGGGUGAGUAAUGCUUAGGAAUCUGCCUAUUAGUGGGGGACAACAUCUCGAAAGGGAUGCUAAUACCGCAUACGUCCUACGGGAGAAAGCAGGGGAUCACUUGUGACCUUGCGCUAAUAGAUGAGCCUAAGCCGGAUUAGCUAGUUGGUGGGGUAAAGGCCUACCAAGGCGACGAUCUGUAGCGGGUCUGAGAGGAUGAUCCGCCACACUGGGACUGAGACACGGCCCAGACUCCUACGGGAGGCAGCAGUGGGGAAUAUUGGACAAUGGGGGGAACCCUGAUCCAGCCAUGCCGCGUGUGUGAAGAAGGCCUUAUGGUUGUAAAGCACUUUAAGUGAGGAGGAGGCUCUUUUGGUUAAUACCCAAGAUGAGUGGACGUUACUCGCAGAAUAAGCACCGGCUAACUCUGUGCCAGCCGCCGCAGUAA
rnacentral:rRNA from 1 species